GGCCAGGUGGCAGAAUGGUAACGCAUGCGGGACUCAUACAGCCCGCUCAAUAAUGUUUCCUCGCAAGGUCUCCGUUCGAUUCGGGGUCUGGCCU